GCUCUAUGGACGGGUUGUUGUCUAUUUGGCACAUUCCCCAUUUCCAUUCUCAAUUUUAUUGAAACCUAUUGCAAAAAGUUCCAUGGCUUUAUCAUAAAAUUGAGAAUGGAAAUGGGGAAUGUGUCAAAGAGACAACAACCCGACCAAAUAAA
rnacentral:sRNA from 1 species